rnacentral:rRNA from 1 species
GACGGGGACCCGCACAAGCAGCGGAGCGUGUGGUUUAAUUCGAUGUUACACGAAGAACCUUACCAGGGUUUGACAUGCAAGUGGUAGGAAGCCGAAAGGUGACCGACCCUUCGGGGAGCUUGCACAGGUGCUGCAUGGCUGUCGUCAGCUCGUGUCGUGAGAUGUUCGGUUAAGUCCGCUAACGAGCGCAACCCUCGCUGUGUGUUAUAUGUGUCACACGGGACUGCCGGUCUUAAGCCGGAGGAAGGUGGGGAUGAUGUCAAGUCAGCAUGGCCUUUAUAUCCUGGGCUACACACACGCUACAAUGGCCAACACAAUAGGUUGCUAAGCCGCGAGGUGGCGCCAAUCCAUAAAGUUGGUCUCAGUUCAGAUUGUAGGCUGCAACCCGCCUGCAUGAAGAUGGAGUUGCUAGUAACCGCAGGUCAGCUAUACUGCGGUGAAUACGUUCCCGGGCCUU